AUGGGUUUGGAAUAACUCGUCGAAAGAUGGGCUAAUACCAAAUAAUGCAGCGGCACCGCAUGGUGAUGUUGUUAAAGCCUAUAUGGCGCCUAUGGAUGAGCUUGCAUCAGAUUAGCUAGUUGGUAGAGUAAAAGCCUACCAAGGCUACGAUCUGUAGCUGGUCUGAGAGGAUGAUCAGCCACACUGGAACUGAGACACGGUCCAG
rnacentral:rRNA from 1 species